rnacentral:snoRNA from 1 species
AAGAUCAUACUUUUAUGGAUCAUUUCUAUAGUGUGGAUCUUGAAAACGUCAUCAAAUUAUGACGAAUUCUCAACUACGUUGAUGAGUUGUAGGGAUUCCUUCUGAGCAUGAAGCUUGGUUCGUUGUAUCUUCGGAUAUUGCGAACUAUUGAGGAUUGUUCUUUGAUUUCUAUUAAUUAAGAGAUCUAGGAGGAAGGAAUCUCCGGCUGAGUAGU